rnacentral:rRNA from 1 species
GACGUAGGGUGCGAGCGUUGUCCGGAUUUAUUGGGCGUAAAGAGCUCGUAGGCGGCUCGUCGCGUCGACCGUGAAAAUCCGAGGCUUAACCUCGGACCUGCAGUCGAUACGGGCAGACUAGAGUUCGGUAGGGGAGACUGGAAUUCCUGGUGUAGCGGUGAAAUGCGCAGAUAUCAGGAGGAACACCGGUGGCGAAGGCGGAUCUCUGGGCCUUACCUGACGCUGAGGCGCGAAAGCUAGGGGAGCAAACAGG